rnacentral:rRNA from 1 species
AGCCCUCGCGUUUUCACGACCGUAGGGAGGUCGUGGAACAAGAGCUGGGCAAGACCGGUGCCAGCCGCCGCGGUAAUACCGGCAGCUCGAGUGAUGGCCGCUGUUAUUGGGCCUAAAGCGUCCGUAGCUGGCCACGCAAGUCCGUCGGGAAAUCCAACGGCUCAACCGUUGGGCGUCCGGCGGAAACUGCGUGGCUUGGGACCGGAAGGCUCGAGGGGUACGUCCGGGGUAGGAGUGAAAUCCCGUAAUCCUGGACGGACCACCGAUGGCGAAAGCACCUCGAGAAGACGGAUCCGACAGUGAGGGACGAAAGCUGGGGUCUCGAACCGGAUUAGAUACCCGGGUAGUCCCAGCCGUAAACGAUGCCAGUUAGGUGUGGGCAGAGGCUACGAGCCUCUGCUGUGCCGUAGGGAAGCCGAGAAACUGGCCGCCUGGGAAGUACGUCCGCAAGGAUGAAACUUAAAGGAAUUGGCGGGGGAGCACUACAACCGGAGGAGCCUGCGGUUUAAUUGGACUCAACGCCGGACAUCUCACCAGCUCCGACUACAGUGAUGACGGUCAGGUUGAUGACCUUACCACGACGCUGUAGAGAGGAGGUGCAUGGCCGCCGUCAGCUCGUACCGUGAGGCGUCCUGUUAAGUCAGGCAACGAGCGAGACCCGCACGCUUAAUUGCCAGCAUCAGGUUUCCUGGAUGGGUACAUUAAGCGGACUGCCGCUGCUAAAGCGGAGGAAGGAACGGGCAACGGUAGGUCAGUAUGCCCCGAAUGAGCUGGGCUACACGCGGGCUACAAUGGCCAGGACAGUGGGUUCCAACCUCGAGAGAGGACGGUAAUCUCCGAAACCUGGCCGUAGUUCGGAUUGCGGGCUGAAACUCGCCCGCAUGAAGCUGGAUUCGGUAGUAAUCGCGUUUCAGCAGAGC